CCGGCUGCAGGUGUUUGGCCUGCAGCACCAGCCGCGGCAGGUGUUUGCCCUGUAGCAGCACCGGCUGCAGGUGUUUGGCCUGCAGCACCACCCGCGGCAGGUGUUUGGCCUGCAGCACCACCCACGGCAGGUGUGCAAGCUUGCAGCCAGCUUCUAGUUGGGUGGUAUGUAAAGGUGUCAAUGCUGACAUAUUAAUAAAAAAAUGCAGUUAAUAAGACAGGCACGGCUGUAACUGAAAGUGUUGGUUACCUUUAGAGGCAGUACAGCUGGAGCGCCUGCAUCCUUUCCCAUAAAACUUAUUUAUUUCACAUAAUUUAUAGGGGAAAAUCGUCAUAGAGACAAGUAAAAUUGCAAUUGUUCAUUUGAAUAUUUUUUUGUGUCUGUAUUAGAGCUAAAAUUAUCCCUUUAGGUAAUCUUUCAAACUUGUCACAACUCUAUACACAGGCAAAUACCAAAAUGGUGGCCAGUGAGUAUCAUAAAUUUUCCGUACUUUUCAGUUGUAAUUACAUAACACUGCUUCCUUGCUAGAGAUGGCAGAGGCUCAUCGUCCAUCUUAUAAAUGUCCUUUCUGUACUUUGGUGGCACCAACUAGUACCUACAUUAUUGAUCAUCAAAUGUUUGCCCACUCACACCUUGUUCAACAGAGAGAAG